GACGAACGCUGGCGGCGUGCUUAACACAUGCAAGUCGAACGAUGAAGCCGGAGCUUGCUCUGGUGAAUUAGUGGCGAACGGGUGAGUAACACGUGAGUAACCUGCUCUUGACUCUGGGAUAACUGCGGGAAACUGUAGCUAAUACCGGAUACGACCCUCGGAGGCAUCUCCUGGGGGUGGAAAGAAUUUCGGUCAAGGAUGGACUCGCGGCCUAUCAGCUAGUUGGUGAGGUAAAGGCUCACCAAGGCGACGAAGGGUAGCCGGCCUGAGAGGGUGACCGGCCACACUGGGACAGAGACACGGCCCAGACUCCUACGGGAGGCAGCAGUGGGGAAUAGUGCACAAUGGGCGCAAGCCUGAUGCAGCAACGCCGCGUGAGGGAUGACGGCCUUCGGGUUGUAAACCUCUUUUAGCAGGGAAGAAGCGAAAGUGACGGUACCUGCAGAAAAAGCACCGGCUAACUACGUGCCAGCCGCCGCGGUAA
rnacentral:rRNA from 1 species